AUGUUUGCCAAAGAGUGCAAAGUUUCAGUUACAUGGGAGGAAUCAGUUCUGGUGGUUUAUUGCAAAACAUGGUGACUAUAGUUAAUGUACUAUGUAUUUCAAAACAUCUAAAAGAAAAGAUUUUAAGUGUUCUCACUACAAAGCAAUGAUAAAUAUUUGAGAUGCUGAACUUUUUAAUACUUACAUUCUUAAGUUUUUCAAGGCUUUUCUAAUAAGUCUGGCAUUCCUGCCCUUGGCAGUGUGAGAUGGAAGAUGAUGUCGCAAGGGUGGCCGAGAAGCAGCUGGGCUGAGCUGCUAAAAGCACAGAGACCGGGGCCAGACUCCUCAGCCUGAAAUCCUGCUUCCACUAAGUACCAGCUGGGUAACUUCAGGGUGGAGCCCAGUUGACAGGAAAUGUUUCUCCAGAAGCUGAAAAGCUGCCUGGUAAAGGCCUUUCAUAAAAUGGUCUGCGUUUGGGACCAGGAAGACAGAAGACUCCUCAAGAAGAGAACUGGAACCUUAACCCACUUCAGACUUCUUCAUGUCUGAAGCUUAUUUCCACCAUCCCAUUGAGAACCAAAGAAGCGAGCUCCUUGGAGAAUCGGCUCCCACCUGGACCUUCUGUUUAUCCUUCCAAUAGCUGCUGCAUUCAUCCUUCCCAGCUAAUGACACUUCCAGCCUUUCGUGUUUCAAAGUAUCACGGACUUUGCAAAAGAUUCCAGGUUUCUAUGGAGCAGAUAGUACUUUUAACAAUCAACAUGUGCAUUAUUAUUUCCUCCUAAGGCAUACUUAGACAUCAAUGCAUGCUACAGCAAGGCAACUUAUCUCACCCUCACCAAGGAUAUUCUGCACUUUCAGUGGCAAAAUUUUAAAGAAAAGGAGACAAAAUGGAACACAAAUUCAAUAUGACUAUUGUCAUCCUUCCCUCCCAGGAAGUGUAGGAAUCAUCCAAAGUGGUAAAAGAGCAGCGCUUCUAAACUCUGACUUCACAUGGAAAAUAACGCGACUACUAAAACUGAUAACAAUAGCAGUCCAUGCCAUUUGACAGGGGUGUGUAGGAGAGGUGGUGAGCAAGCUGAAAUCCCUUCAGGUAUUUGCAGAACUUCUGAGCAAAAGCUAAAGCUAAAAUUAACAUUAAAUAUGCAAAGUAUUUUUAACCCAACAUAAAUUAACAAUGUUCCUAUUUCAAUUCUAUUGCUCUUGGGAUGACUAUGUCCUUUGGAAAAUGUUUAAAUAACUUAAGAUUUCCGUCAUGAGUUUACUAUUUCAAAACUUAUUUUUUUAACUGCAAGAUACCUUUUUAUGUUACCAGGAGUGUUACCAGCUAGCUGCCAAAACCUGGUUGAAGUUCUCCCACUUUAUAUUGUAAAUGAUUACAUAGUUUAUUAGUAAUUGUGUCCCCUGUCCACCCACUGGUCCAUUUGGAUGGGAAAAUUUUCAAAAUAACUUCAUAAGAAAAUGAUAAGAAAAAUGUGGUCACCGGUAUCAUGAGGAACUUCCAGACAGCUCAGCACAGAAAAGUUGGUUUUAAAGUCCUCGAAAACGUUACUGGUAAUGAGCUUCCACUCCUUUAGUCGUUGUGCAUAGAUACACCACAGAGUAAGGUUAUAAAAAUAAAAGUUGUUUCAGGAAAUUUCCCAUUGCUUUAUUACAUGAUCAAUGAGAGUAAAGAGAAAUGGAAGUUGACGGGAUAGGAAUGAGGGACCUGCUGGAAGAGUGAUCACAAUAUCCAAAGGAAAUUUAAAAUGCCUGUUGAAAGUGACACACUGACUCAGCAUUGUCACUAACACAGAAUCACCACAAUAAAACUGCCCUGCCCUGUGGCUCCUGGCACCUCAUGUCUCUUUAGGUUAAGCAGAGAGAGGUCUGUGUUGCUUUGGAACAAGGUGCAGCCUCCCCCUAAGCUACAGAGAGGCUCUGAGCAAGGACCAGCCCCCAGGGUGCAGCCUUGCCCACCCUCCACAGGCUCCAGAGCAGAUGGGGUGGCUCUAGAGAGCAAAUGGUCAAAACUUCUAGCGCUAAAUAGAGCUUUAACAUGUCUCAGAUACUAGCAAAAUAGAGAAGCCUCAGAUGGCUUUAGGUCUGGAAGUGUGUUGCUAAAAAUGCUAAAAAUUUAACAAACUUUUAUAAAUCCUUAAGAGAUCUUUUUCAGUUUUCUGAAGUACCGUUAAUUGCCCAUGUGUUUCAACUUGCAGACAGGCAAGAAUUUGGCUUUGUAUGUUUAAAAAUAUGUACAUCUUGGUUCAUAAUGAUGAUUUAUUUCCAAAAUGGUGACUCAUACUAGGAUUACAUAUAAAACAUCAUAUGUGGGCCUUAUAUGUAAUAAUGUGUAAGUAUAGUAUAUUAAUUACUCUGACAUAACAUGGGCAGAGAUUUGUAUUAAUUUAUUUCUAUUUCAUCUAAUCAAUAUUUUACUUAAGUCUAAAACCUUAUAUAUAUAUUGACAUGUAUCAUCGUAUAUAUAAACAUUGUAUCUAUUGAACUGAGCAAUCUGUAGUUUAUUUUAAAUUCUGAUACAUUAAAGAUGUGGAGAACUACAUGAAAU
rnacentral:lncRNA from 1 species